rnacentral:rRNA from 1 species
GAUGAACGCUGGCGGCGUGCCUAAUACAUGCAAGUCGAGCGAACAGACGAGGAGCUUGCUCCUCUGACGUUAGCGGCGGACGGGUGAGUAACACGUGGAUAACCUACCUAUAAGACUGGGAUAACUUCGGGAAACCGGAGCUAAUACCGGAUAAUAUAUUGAACCGCAUGGUUCAAUAGUGAAAGACGGUUUUGCUGUCACUUAUAGAUGGAUCCGCGCCGCAUUAGCUAGUUGGUAAGGUAACGGCUUACCAAGGCAACGAUGCGUAGCCGACCUGAGAGUGUGAUCGGCCACACUGGAACUGAGACACCGUCCAGACUCCUACGAGAGGCAGCAGUACGGAAUCUUCCGCAAUGAGCGAAAGCUUGACGAAGCAACGCCGCGUGAGUGAUGAAGAUCUUCGGAUCGUAAAACUCUGUUAUUAGGGAAGAACAAAUGUGUAAGUAACUAUGCACGUCUUGACGGUACCUAAUCAGAAAGCCACGGCUAACUACGUG